AUUUUUAAUACCAUUAAGUGUUUAAGCUUCUUAAGUAAGUUUGAUAGUUAGCAGAGGCUCUUGAGAAAAUAAUAUUCAAAAAUCAGUAAUAGUUUAAAGAUACUUCCUUUUUUCUGCUUAACUGAGAGUAUCUGGAAAACCCAGCAACAAUUCUAGGAAGCUUCUCUGACACAGAAAACAAUCCCAGGCCAGAGACAUUUGAACUUGGGCACUUUACAAUCUACUUACUUUUUAUUUUUCAUUUUUACAAUCCUUCUGCUGAGCAGCAAAAUGAGUGAGACCUAUAAAGGAAUAUUAGAAUUUUUAGUGUUUUCAGAUUCAGUCAGAAGGCUUUCUGAUCUGAGUGAUGCUUUAACUAUGUUAACACAGAAAUACAGCAUCAAUGUCAGUGGCUUAGACUUAAAGAACUAUGCUUAGUAUUGAAUGGCAUGUUUAACUUCUGCCUUUUUCAUAAUCUAAAGACUUAUUUGAAGUUAUACAAUAAAAAAGAUCAAUGUUUAAACUCUAAAAGACUGUUAAGUUAAAAAAUCUACCCCCUAAAGUCUUUCAUCUUUCACUGGGUCACUAUCUUAAUAUGUGAUUAAAGCACUGUAAUGCCACAUGUGAUGAUGUGAGACUUUCUGCAGGAUUAGUCCACCCACAUUCAGCCUUCUGUCCUUCACUUCUUGGUUGAGCAGAAUUCUACAGUAUCAGCCAUCAUUGCCUGUCUGUUCCUCUAAUUAUUUAAAGUUAAUUUCAAAAUAAAUAAUUAUUAGAACCUAUCUAUCUGUGUCAUAUCCAUGCUAUACUUUUACUUCUUUCAAAAAUCAUCUUCUCCCUCGUUCCUCAGAUAGCUCUGCAGAAAACCUCCAAUCAAAUGCUUAGGAAUAGAAGCUCCCUGAACUUCUAUUUGGCAUACUCAGUCCAUAGAUACUGGACUACCUAUGGAUACAUUAAGAUGCAACUCAUUUCCCUGGCUAUUUAAGAGAUAUUGCAGAUUUGGUUCCAGAUCAACACAAUAAAGCAAAUCACACACAAAUUUUUUGGUUUUCU
rnacentral:lncRNA from 10 species